rnacentral:misc_RNA from 1 species
CCUAGAGUUGUAGGCUUUGCCUGCUAUCUCUUACCCAUGUCUUUUGAGUACCUUACGUUUCCUCGGUGGGUUCGCCCACCGAUAUUGGACAAACUUAAACCCUUUGCAGUUGAAAUCAGCGUCUGAAAAAACUUAAUAGUUA